ACUCGGAAAAAUCGAGCUCCGACUGGGAAACAGACUUCAACGAUCAUCCUACUCCAAUUUCGGGGCUCUUUGCAGAGCGCUGACAUUCCGACCUGAAGAUCAACGACGUCAUUAUUGGCCUUGUAUUUUCCGAGUUAUUCCAGUUAUUUUGAACGUGGCAUAACUAUCUCAAAGUCUGUUCAAGAACGUUUUGGGGAAACGUGUCGUUCUGUACAAACCGUACCGCAACGUAACAAACAUCAAGGCGAACUGAACGCACCUACAUCAUUAAGAACAGGACUGCUGCACAGAGAACGUACAGGACACAGAUGACUGCUGAGGCAAUGAGGGAUAUGUGGGAGAUGUUGACGUCUGACCCCAGCAGUGUGGUGUUACCGUUGUCAAGAACUUCCAGGUCACCCGGGAGACAGGGGGUGAUCGCCCCACCCACUAUCUGCCCCUGGAUCGCUGUGCCAACCACCGAGCCCAGCACCUCCGCCGUCAUACCUGAACAAGAGAGAAGGGAUGGAGAGUAGAAUGAAGACCUCAUCUUACAACCACAUGAGAUGCUACAUAACUGCAAAGAUGUACAGGAUGACUUACGGGGAGACUGACCGUCUGCAGAGACUGGAAUAGGCAGUAGAAGAUCAGAUACCACAGGACCUUCCACUGCUCCACUGGAGGGACGUACCAGAUCAGGAAGUACGCGAGUACUGCAAAGGGAGUGGAGAUGAGGAUCCUGUGAGGAAAACAGAGGAGCAUUUUAAUGUUUUGUUGUCUAAGUAGGUCUAUUUCAUCUCUGACUGGAGAAAAUAUGAUAUAUUAUUUAACAUUUUUAAAAGUUUACAGUAUUGAAGCAAUAAAUAUAUGUUUUCACAAUUAUGAUUUCCAUGAGUCCCUGCCAGGCUAAGUGUGUCACCUGGUAGUGAUGGCAGUAGUGCUACCAGAUUUAUUGCACUAACAUGUCAUCUGCAUAGGGUUGAAAUAUACAAACACUGACCAAAAAUAUUAGAAACAACAAAUUUAUUGAAUUACAGCUCAUAGGGAAAUCAGUCAAUUGAAAUACAUUCAUUAGGCCCUAAUCUAGGGAUUUCACAUGACUGGGCAGGGGUGUAGCC